rnacentral:misc_RNA from 1 species
UACGGAGGGUGCGAGCGUUAAUCGGAAUAACUGGGCGUAAAGCGCGCGUAGGUGGUUGAGUCAGUCAGAUGUGAAAGCCCUGGGCUUAACCUGGGAACUGCACCUGAUACUGCUUGACUAGAGUACGGGAGAGGGCAGUGGAAUUCCCUGUGUAGCGGUGAAAUGCGUAGAUAUAGGGAGGAACACCUGUGGCGAAGGCGACGGCCUGGACUGAUACUGACGCUGAGGUGCGAAAGCGUGGGUAGCAAACAGG